GCCAAGGUUCAGUUCGGUUGAAGAGGAAUUAAAUGAUGCUGAAAAUAUGGAAACCGACAUGGAAGCCAUCGAAUCAGUACAUUCAAGAAAUGAGUUAAGGAGGUCUGUUCGGACAAAAGAGAAACCCAAAAUCUUGACUUACCCCAAAUUGGGAAACCCUUUGAUAACCAUAGUUCAGUCCCUUCUUCAAGGCCUAAAUGAAGCCUUUUCAGAGUCCUUGCAAGAGUGUCCCCGUACGAGCUGUUCUGCAGCACAGGAUUAUACUGGCAAUAUGCAAAGGGACUUGCAUGGUUCUAUGGGGGGAGGGUGUAACCCAGGCUCAAAAACCUUUGUAGUCUAAAUUAGAUUUAAACACAGUCAUCUGAAUAGCUAGAUACUGUUAGAGGAAGAAAUAUGGAACAAAUACUAAAUGUAUAUAUAUGUAUAUAUAAAUAUUUUCCAUUUGAAAUGGGUUACUUGUUAGGUAAACUAAAUAGUUGAAAUGUAACUUUAAUUUUGAUUGAGCUCUAGAUCUGUGCAGGUGAGCAGCCAAUCGAGCGUAAUUAGGUCAAGUUGACUCCGCCCACCGAGAGAUGCGGCAUUAGAGAGAGAGAAAAAAACUUGAGAAACAACGUGAAUUAGAAGCUGCGUAAGAUCUUGAUUUAUUUCAUUUUGAGAGAGAACGCAUGUGAAAACCAAACAUUUGGAGUAGGCCAUCAUUGCGUCAUCCGAGAGAAACCUGGAAAAAAACAGAGAAAUAUCAUUAAUACACGAGGGAAUCGGCCAGUUUUGUUAUUUUAGAAAUCUAGAAUCUGGAUUUUUUCAAUUCAUGAAGAUGGCGAGCCAACCGUAAAUCGAUCAGAAACAACUAUCCUUUGUCUUUUUGGACAUCUGUAUCACUUCACUUUCGGCAGGACAUCGCGUCGGAUUUUUUUCUUUUGAGGUUUGAAACAUCUGACAUUUUCAUUUUUCCUUUUGAGCAUUGGAUCACUGAUUUAAAGGAACUGAGGAGACAAUAUCAUUCUUUAUUGUUCAGACUGACAUUUUGUUUGAACUGUGCAUUCAAGAAUUACUGAUACUGCAUUGAUACGCAUUCAUUUAGACUUUGUUUCGUAUAAACAAGUGUUUACAGUGGACAUUUGUACGUGUGACUAAACACAAGUCCUGACAUUCGUGUUUAUUUUAUAUCUACUGAUCUUGAGUAUACAUUUGAGUUGUGUACAUAAAAAAGGAGAUCAGAAAUUGAAUGUUUAUUACAAUUUAAUUUGCA